CAUUCUUGCAUGUAGGGUAAUGAAAGGUAUAUGUAUAUUGAUUGUAUCGAUCAUUUGCUUAAUCUGCUUAAGAUUAUUGUAGAUGUUAUAGAACCAUGUGAACAAAGAAAAUGAAUGACCCUAUGUGUAUGUGAAUGCGAGAACAGACUGUGACAAUAGUAAACAAAGGUGACAUUGACAUUAGUGACUCGAUUGAUAUCGAAAAGUGGAUAGUUAAACAGGGUUUAA
rnacentral:lncRNA from 1 species